UAAUCGAAAAAUAUUUUGAAUCAAGAAAAGUGAUCAUAAAUAAUAAUGCCCCUAAAUUUAUCAGGCGUUCGUCAAUAUUUAGGUGAAUUAAGGAUUUGGGGUGGUUUACACAAAGAUCAGGCUGAGAAGUACCGCAAUGUAUUACGGGAAAUAUUACAAAAUCCAGAGGCAGAAGUAGCUGAAUGCUUAAAAGCCUUUGUGGAAGCAAUUGUAAAUGAAAAUGUAAGCUUGGUUAUAUCACGGCAGCUCCUCACUGACGUGAGCACACACUUGGCCGUGCUGCCCGACCCUGUGUCACAGGAAGUGUCACACUUUGCACUUGAUGUCAUCCAGCCAAGGGUUAUUUCAUUUGAGGAACAGGUGGCAAGCAUCAGGCAGCACCUGGCAGAUAUCUACGAGCGCAAUCAGAAUUGGAAAGAGGCUGCAAAUGUUCUUGUUGGUAUACCAUUGGAAACUGGACAGAAACAAUACUCGGUAGACUAUAAGCUUGAGACCUACUUGAAGAUUGCCCGACUGUACUUGGAAGUAGAUGACCCGGUACAAGCAGAGGCCUACGUCAACAGAGCAUCUCUGUUACAAGCGGAGACUACAAAUGAACAACUACAAAUAUACUACAAAGUGUGCUACGCUAGAGUAUUAGAUUAUAGAAGAAAGUUCAUAGAGGCAGCACAGAGAUACAAUGAGCUAUCGUAUCGCAACAUCAUCCACGACGAUGAGAGGAUGACCUGCCUUAGGAACGCUCUCAUUUGCACAGUCCUAGCCUCUGCAGGUCAACAACGCUCGCGCAUGUUGGCGACGCUGUUCAAGGACGAGCGCUGCCAGCAGCUGCCCGCCUACUCCAUCCUCGAGAAGAUGUACUUGGACCGCAUCAUCCGCCGCUCCGAGCUGCACGAGUUCGAAGCGCUCAUGCAGACCCAUCAGAAGGCGUCGACGCCGGACGGCUCGACGAUUCUGGACCGCGCGGUGUUCGAGCACAACCUGCUGUCGGCCAGCAAGCUGUACAACAACAUCACGUUCGAGGAGCUGGGCGCGCUGCUGGAGACGCCGCCCGCGCGCGCCGAGCGCAUCGCCAGCCACAUGAUCAGCGAGGGCCGCAUGAACGGCUACAUCGACCAGAUCAGCGCCGUCGUGCACUUCGAGAGUCAGUAUAUGCGAUCCUUACACUAACAGAGCUAUCACACUAGCGGUGCUCGAGCACAACCUGCUGUCGGCCAGCAAGCUGUACAACAACAUCACGUUCGAGGAGCUGGGCGCGCUGCUGGAGACGCCGCCCGCGCGCGCCGAGCGCAUCGCCAGCCACAUGAUCAGCGAGGGCCGCAUGAACGGCUACAUCGACCAGAUCAGCGCCGUCGUGCACUUCGAGACGCGUGAGAUUCUGCCGCAGUGGGACAAACAGAUCCAAAGUCUUUGCUACCAAGUCAACGGGCUCAUCGAGAAGAUUGCUGCAGCCGAACCAGAGUGGAUGGCAAAACUUAUGGAAGAAGAGAUGAUUCAGUAACUCAUGUAAAUGUAUUAAUAGUCCUAUAUAAUAAUAAACUUACAUCUAAUUACAUACUUA